GUCCACUAGGUUACACAUCAGCUACAGAAGCAACUCAGCGGUUAGGGCAGAGCCACUAUGUCAGCUUCCCACCAGGUGGGUCACCGUUACUUAAUGGGAGUAGGCCAGACAAGUUAGUGGGGAGAUUGGUGGGGUGCAAAUGCACGGGAAAAGCAAAUCCAAUACAACUGCCAUUUUGUUCACACCCGCCAAGCUCUCUGCUGCCUCUUCUCUCCCUGUCUGCCUCCUGGUAAACAGCAGCAACUCACCUGCCAGUAAGGUAGCACAAUAGCUCUGUUCCACCUGGUGAACUGCUUUUGGUCAGCUGUUCAGUUUCUUAACUAAAAACACAGCAGUCGGCCAGGAGAAAAAGCAGACAAAGUUUAAACCAAAGGCAAAAUUCUGCAUUAUUUAUUUAUUGUUGGCAUCCAUCUGUCAACACUAUGAUAGCGACAUGAACACAGUUUGGAGCCAAUCACCUGGUGACAAUCAUUAUUUAUUAAAUUUCUAUGCUGCCCUUCAUUGGUAGAUUUCAGGAUGGUUCACAACAUAAAAAUACAAGAUAAAAACAAAAAAUACAUGAUAAAAGAAAGGACCAAAAAAAAUGCCCCACAGAAACCAAUAACCCCACUUCCCCUACCCCCUCACACAUGGGUUUGUUAGGUUUCUUUUUGUUUAAAACUCUUCUUUUCUUCCAUGUUCACAUUAAAUGGUAGGUUUUCCGCAGCAAGCUUGAUGUUGUAUCUUUUGCUGCUGUCAUUAUCUCAGCAUUGAGCUUUGUAAAUCCCACAUCAUGCUUCUUUACCAUUAUUCUUUGUUAGUGUUUUAAUCAUCUUCCUUUUGUUUCUCUCUUGUUUCUCCAACAAGACUAUGAACUCCUGAAAUGGCCUGCGAUUGUGGGCAACCCCAGACUUUUGUAAGUUGUCUGCUCUGUUGUUGGCAGGAUAACUCAAACUGUGACCACAGGCACAAGACUUCAUAUUUGCCUUCCCUCAAGUCCCUCUUGUAAUUAACUUCCUGCUGCUUCUCUCCAAUAACUGGAGGACCAAAACACUUUGAGUUCCACUCAAGUAUAAAUCAUAGGAAUGUAGCAUUGCACCCUACUGGGCUGGGUCUUGCCUGGAGUUCACCAGACUUGUUCUGUACUAUAUGAUUUCUCCUUCAAUCCAGGAAAAAAAAAACCCUAAGCAAACAACAGGAAAUUACCCUCAAACAAUCAGAGAAACUAUGCAAGUUCUUGUCCCACAAGAACUCUUAUAUAAUAUAAUAUUGCACCUUCACAUGCUCAUAUUUACUAGGAACUAAAUUCCAUUAAUAUGAGUUGAUCUCACAUUCAAGAGCUGUUAGGAUCAUAGUGUUAGCUAAUUAUUAUUAAUAAUUCGGCAAUCAUUAUUCUUUACUGUGAGCUAUGUUUAGAUAAUGAAAUGAAACUAUACAGGUAUUAAUGUACAGAUACGAACACUUCCCAGUACAAUCAGGAACCCUUCAAAAGCUGAGUUCCUGAUGAUCCAGAUAACAUACAAUUGUCCAUACAUAUGCUGAAAUGAAUGUGCAUAUACCAGGGCUCGAAUUUGCCAUCAUGACACUAUAAUGUAUACAUUGCUAUAUAUUAUUAAAACUGCAAAUGGCUUUGGGAAGCUUAGUACUGCUAUAUGUUUGAAAAGGAUAAAGAGCCUGAUUCAAAGUUCCCAUUUUACUAUCCUUCUUAAUAGGUUUAGUCAACCUACUCAAUAUUUCAAGGGAAAGAUCAAUGCUAUCUAGAGAUUUAUUCACUUGUCCCCCUACCCCAAGAAUAAUAGCUGGGACAAGCUCAUUGGCCUCUUUCUCUCCUGCACAUCCCCAUCCCCAUCCCUGCAACCACCCAUAUAUUGGAGCCAAAAUUCAUUGCAGUAAAGAGCCUCUUCUAGUGAACCAGACUCACAUUUAAUAGUCCUCAUCUGGUGCUGAUGCUGUAGUGAUAGCAACAGGAACAGAGAAGAGGCAGCGGAGGCAGCAGCAACUUGUUCAUCCCCACUCUCCUUCUCAUGCUAUGCUGUUCCUCUUGGGGAAGGGGAGGAUUAGUGGACAGGGCUUAAUCCAUAGCUGGCAACGUUUUCCUUUUUUUAAGGGAAAUUCCCUUAUUCCAAAUAGGAUUCCUCGCAAGAAAAGGGAAAAGUUGACAGCUAUGGCUUAAUCUGAUCCUUUGGGGUUUUAAGUGGGUGUUGGUUCUUGUGGUUAAUUGGCAUGCUUAAUCUAGUCAUGGGACAAGGAAGACUAUUUUGUGUGGAUGAACAACUUUUUAGUGUGUGUCACUGUUUUGAAUUGAUUUAUUUGUUAUUUAAUGUGCAUUUAAUGUAAUUAAUGUAAUGUACAUUUAAUGUAAUUCACAAUGCAAAGCAUUUUGAGACUCUUUCUCAAGUGAGAACAAAAUAAUUAAAUGAAUUGUUAUUAUUGUCAAUCAAAUAAUUAUAAUAAUAUGUAAAUUUGACACAGUGCUUGGGACUCUCAGUCAGUACUGAGUAUUGUGCAUAGGUAGCCACAAAUACUGGAUAUAGAGUUCAAUAACAAGGAAGUCAGGCAUACAGCUUUCAGGGCAUUUGUUUAUUACCUUUCCAGCCCUAAUGGGACCCCUAUGCUACUGACCAUUAUAAAAACAUAAACCAGCAAACCAGCAUAAAGUAUAAAAACAAAAGUUCAAGUAAUAAGCAGAAGAACUAAUAAAUCAGCGAAUAAAUACCAAGAUCCAGAUAUUAUCACAUUCCCAAAGAGUGCAGUGAUAUAAUGUAUAUCUAAACUGUAGUCAAAAUGACAAGCUCAGAUGGCUGUCUCAGAUUCUGUAGCCUUGGUAUGACUGUCAAGAAGGCACCAUUCCAUGAGCGAACUAGAUGCACCUCAAAUGGUGGUGAACAUGGAGCAUAGCACAGCAUAUUGAUCCCCUAUGCUAGAUUUAUUUUCUGAGCAGUACAAAUGCACACCGUCCGUUUUUAGAUAAAAAACCAGGACACACUCCUGAACAAGUCACAUGAGCUGCCUCACGAUAUCAUCCUCCAAUUCCCGCCCCACCCCCGAGUGUGACAUGAGAGUGUGCAAGAUCACGGCACCCAAAAUGGCCACCAUGAUCUCACACAAACAGAUGAGAUGUCCCAUUUUUUCUGGAACACUUAGUGGGUAGAACUGGUAUGCUGGAGAACUAAUGACAAGCAAGAGUAUGUCCCAGAUCACCUGGUGAAGGUUGUGUUACUGUGAUGUAUUUCUUUUACUGCUUGAUUUAAUUCACCUUCUGGUCUAUUGUAGCAUCAUAUCAAGGAAGAAGAUCAUUAUCUUGGAGAGAACAGGGUGGCUGCCAGCAACUGAACCUCUCAUGCCCCAUAAUACCAAGCAAUCCUAGCCCUGAACUUUUAAGUGGUUGAAUUUGCUCUCUUCUCCAAAGCGUUAAGUCUCCCACAGCUUGUUACACUGUGUGGGAAUCUUCAGCCUGCACCUGGACUAAGGAGCUAUGCUGAUUGCCUGCCAAGUAUUAGUUUGUCUUCCAUUCUGGUGGGAAACUGUUGUGUUACCCAGACACCAGCUGUGGCUUAUGAAAUGAUCUUUUGCUUUUGUGAAAAAAUGAUGUGUUCCCCAAAUAUCAGCUGUGGUGGAUUCUAAUAUAAGUCACAAGCACAUCUCAACGAACUGAGCUUCUACGCAGGCCAAUAGCUGGCAGAUGUUGAGCACCUGACAGGACUUUGUGUCCAUUGCCAUUCAGUAGGGUUCCUGCUCACAAAAGGAAAGGGAAUAAAUACCAGUUUUUGCUUUGCUUUGCUUUGCCUUGUUCUUUAGUGUGUCAUACUCCUGCUAAUAAAAUCUGUUUAUUAAAGAGC